UUCACAGCAUAGGUUACUUUGAGUCUGUGAAGGGUGAGUGUGGCUUUGGGAGGGCGAGAAAGGGACAGUGGGUAUGAGAGAGGAAGCCCCUAAGCCUAGCCAGGGGUGGCAGGUGAUCCAACGUCAGUGCCGGGGGUGGAGGGAGGCUGCAGAGCCAGCUGGGGGAGACAGGGGGUGGAACUGGUCUGUUGAGAACAGGGGGAGGGGAAUCACCCAGGGAGUAGGUCACUGCUGGAGGCUGGGGGCAGGGGAGUGACAUGAUUGGGUCCACGUUAUAGGCAGCUGGUGACUGUUGUGGAGGAUGAAGGGAGGCCAGAGGAGAAACAGCAGGAGGGAGGGCGUCCAGUGAGAAACUUCAACACUCUGGGCAGGAGACAAAGAGUCGGAGCAAAUGGGGAGAAGGAGCUGUCCGUGCAUCUGGGGAAGCAACUGUACUUCCCUCAAGCAGAGGGAGGAAUCAGAAGAGGUGAUAAAAUCACAGCAUAAAGCAACUGGGAUAGCUUUGGCCACACCUGUACCACCAGCUCUGUUUGCUGAGAACAUUCAGCAAGUGAUAAACGUUGGUGAUAAAUGUUCUGCUCUUGGAGAAAACAGGUUCUUCCCACUACACUUGGAAGUGUUUACCUCCAUUUUGUGGAUGACCAGUUGAACUCCAAAGCCAGGAAAUUCACCUGCAUCCCAGAGAGGAAGGAAGUGAUGCUCCAGGCAUGUUCUCCACCCAGCCUGUCCAACAGUGACGGUGAUGCCUAAUUUGCCAUUUAGCUCUGCAGGCUCUUAAUCCCCCAGUCACUGGCCAAGUCGCCUUGGAUAAUCUUUCUAUAGUUGGCCAUGGCACUGUAACAACUACUCAGUGCUCCAAAUGCCACAUUCCAGCUUCCAAUUUCCAGUGGGUUAUGUUGACUCCAGCAUCUACUAACAUAUUUGGCUUCUAACACAGCAAAACUCUGGGAGGAAACUUUU